rnacentral:rRNA from 1 species
GACGAACGCUGGCGGCGUGCUUAACACAUGCAAGUCGAACGGAGAGGCCCUGCUUUUGUGUGGUGCUUGAGUGGCGAACGGGUGAGUAACACGUGAGUAACCUGCCCUUGACUUUGGGAUAACUUCAGGAAACUGUGGCUAAUACCGGAUAUGAGCCCCUGCUGCAUGGUGGGGUCUGGAAAGUUUCGGCGGUGGGGGAUGGACUCGCGGCUUAUCAGCUUGUUGGUGGGGUAGUGGCUUACCAAGGCGUUGACGGGUAGCCGGCCUGAGAGGGUGACCGGCCACAUUGGGACUGAGAUACGGCCCAGACUCCUACGGGAGGCAGCAGUGGGGAAUAUUGCACAAUGGGCGGAAGCCUGAUGCAGCGACGCCGCGUGCGGGAUGAAGGCCUUCGGGUUGUAAACCGCUUUCAGCUGUGAAGAAGCGAAAGUGACGGUACUGGGUAAAGAAGCACCGGCUAACUACGUG